rnacentral:lncRNA from 1 species
CUGUAGCUCCUUCAACAGACUAUGCAUCAUAUUACUCAUACAUACAAGGGUUGAACACUUUUCAAAUGAAUGGUGAGGACUUAUCUUGGCCUGAAACUGUUUCCAUACACAACGAAUAUCAAGACAAGAAUAAUAGGAGAUUUGGCAUCAAGGGAGUAGGAGAUAGUAUGGAUAAACCUACUGAGAUGCAGCAUGGAAAUGUUCCAUUAGGGUUUCCUGAGUUACCAACUAUGAACCUUUAUGUACCAUUGAGCAAGCGUUCAGUCCUUGUAGGAGAUACUUCUCAAUCUAGAUCUGAUACAAAUUAUAAUCAACCUUCACCUAACCAUCAUCUUGUGGGUCAGAAAACCUUACGAUCGGAGGGCGGGACGUAUACAGAAUCAUCAAAUACUUCUCACAUAUUGGGCAGAGGGAAAGAUCAUGCAAAGAACGAUCACAUCAAUAUACUUGAGCAUGCAGAAGAAGUUUUUGACAGUGAAAAAAUCAUACCCACAGAAACCAGGCAAGUAUGCUCAGAUAAUGGUCAGGCUGAACCUAUGGCAGAGAAGCAAGUUUAUUCUCCAGGCCAAAAAGACAAAGAGGGCAAAC